AAGUCGUAACAAGGUUUCCGUAGGUGAACCUGCGGAAGGAUCAUUCAUAAUAAGUGUUUUAUGGCACUCUAAAUCCAUUACCCACCUUGUGUGCAAUGUCGAGGGGGAGAGGAGGGAACAUUCUUUUCUCUCCCCUUUUCAUACAUACCAAAAAACUUUUAAUUAUCAGUCUACAUCUAUUUAGAGUAUAAAAAACUCGAAAUACAACUUUCAACAACGGAUCUCUUGGCUCUC
rnacentral:misc_RNA from 1 species